GCGUCUGUAGCCUAGUUGGUAAAGGCAGAACUCUAGUAAUGCUGAGGUCAUGGGUUCGACUCCCAUCAGACACA
rnacentral:tRNA from 1 species